GUUGUAUGGUUAAGUGACUAAGCGUACACGGUGGAUGCCUUGGCAGUCAGAGGCGAUGAAAGACGUAGUAACUUGCGAUAAGCCCAGAUUAGGUAGUAACAACCAUUUGAGUCUGGGAUUUCUGAAUGGGGAAACCCACGUGCAUAAGCACGUAUCCUUACCUGAAUACAUAGGGUAAGGAGGCGAACCGGGGGAACUGAAACAUCUAAGUACCCCGAGGAAAAGAAAUCAACCGAGAUUCCGAAAGUAGCGGCGAGCGAAAUUGGACUAGCCCUUAAGCUUUACACGCGUUAGACGAACGGUCUGGAAAGUCCGACGAUACAGGGUGAUAGUCCCGUAGUUGACGACGUGUGUUCAGUGAAAUCGAGUAGGGCGGGACACGUGAUAUCCUGUCUGAAUAUGGGGGGACCAUCCUCCAAGGCUAAAUACUACUGACUGACCGAUAGUGAACCAGUACCGUGAGGGAAAGGCGAAAAGAACCCCUGUGAGGGGAGUGAAAUAGAACCUGAAACCGUGUACGUACAAGCAGUAGGAGCAGGCUUUGUCCUGUGACUGCGUACCUUUUGUAUAAUGGGUCAGCGACUUAUAUUCAGUGGCAAGGUUAACCAUCUAGGGGAGCCGUAGGGAAACCGAGUCUUAACUGGGCGUUCAGUCUCUGGAUAUAGACCCGAAACCAGGUGAUCUAGCCAUGGGCAGGUUGAAGGUUGAGUAACAUCAACUGGAGGACCGAACCGACUAAUGUUGAAAAAUUAGCGGAUGACUUGUGGCUAGGGGUGAAAGGCCAAUCAAACCUGGAGAUAGCUGGUUCUCCCCGAAAGCUAUUUAGGUAGCGCCUCGGACGAAUACUACUGGGGGUAGAGCACUGUUAAGGCUAGGGGGUCAUCCCGACUUACCAACCCUUUGCAAACUCCGAAUACCAGUAAGUACUAUCCGGGAGACACACGGCGGGUGCUAACGUCCGUCGUGGAGAGGGAAACAACCCAGACCGCCAGCUAAGGUCCCAAAUUACUACUAAGUGGGAAACGAUGUGGGAAGGCUCAGACAGCCAGGAUGUUGGCUUAGAAGCAGCCAUCAUUUAAAGAAAGCGUAAUAGCUCACUGGUCGAGUCGGCCUGCGCGGAAGAUGUAACGGGGCUAAGUAGUAAACCGAAGCUGCGGCAAUAUACUUUUGUAUAUUGGGUAGGGGAGCGUUCUGUAAGCGGUUGAAGGUGUGUGGUAACGCAUGCUGGACGUAUCAGAAGUGCGAAUGCUGACAUGAGUAACGAUAAAGGGGGUGAAAAACCUCCUCGCCGGAAGACCAAGGGUUCCUGUCCAACGUUAAUCGGGGCAGGGUAAGUCGACCCCUAAGGCGAGGCCGAAAGGCGUAGUCGAUGGGAAACGGGUUAAUAUUCCCGUACUUCUUACAAUUGCGAUGGGGGGACGGAGAAGGCUAGGUGGGCCUGGCGACGGUUGUCCAGGUUCAAGUGCGUAGGCUUAAGAGUUAGGUAAAUCCGGCUCUUUUUAAGGCUGAGACACGACGUCGAGCACCUACGGGUGUGAAGUCAUUGAUGCCAUGCUUCCAGGAAAAGCCUCUAAGCUUCAGAUUGUAAGGAAUCGUACCCCAAACCGACACAGGUGGUCGGGUAGAGAAUACCAAGGCGCUUGAGAGAACUCGGGUGAAGGAACUAGGCAAAAUGGUACCGUAACUUCGGGAGAAGGUACGCUCUCGACGGUGAAGUCCCUCGCGGAUGGAGCUAUUGAGAGUCGCAGAUACCAGGUGGCUGCAACUGUUUAUUAAAAACACAGCACUGUGCAAAAUCGUAAGAUGACGUAUACGGUGUGACGCCUGCCCGGUGCCGGAAGGUUAAUUGAUGGGGUUAGACUUCGGUCGAAGCUCUUGAUCGAAGCCCCGGUAAACGGCGGCCGUAACUAUAACGGUCCUAAGGUAGCGAAAUUCCUUGUCGGGUAAGUUCCGACCUGCACGAAUGGCGUAAUGAUGGCCACGCUGUCUCCACCCGAGACUCAGUGAAAUUGAAAUCGCUGUGAAGAUGCAGUGUACCCGCGGCUAGACGGAAAGACCCCGUGAACCUUUACUACAGCUUGGCACUGAACAUUGACCCUACAUGUGUAGGAUAGGUGGGAGGCUUUGAAGCACGUACGCCAGUAUGUGUGGAGCCGUCCUUGAAAUACCACCCUUGUAGUGUUGAUGUUCUAACGUCGACCCCUAAUCGGGGUUGCGGACAGUGCCUGGUGGGUAGUUUGACUGGGGCGGUCUCCUCCCAAAGAGUAACGGAGGAGCACGAAGGUGGGCUAAUCACGGUUGGACAUCGUGAGGUUAGUGCAAUGGCAUAAGCCCGCUUGACUGCGAGAAUGACAAUUCGAGCAGGUGCGAAAGCAGGUCAUAGUGAUCCGGUGGUUCUGAAUGGAAGGGCCAUCGCUCAACGGAUAAAAGGUACUCCGGGGAUAACAGGCUGAUACCGCCCAAGAGUUCAUAUCGACGGCGGUGUUUGGCACCUCGAUGUCGGCUCAUCACAUCCUGGGGCUGAAGUCGGUCCCAAGGGUAUGGCUGUUCGCCAUUUAAAGUGGUACGCGAGCUGGGUUUAGAACGUCGUGAGACAGUUCGGUCCCUAUCUGCCGUGGGCGUUGGAAGAUUGAAGGGGGCUGCUCCUAGUACGAGAGGACCGGAGUGGACGAACCUCUGGUGUUCGGGUUGUGUCGCCAGACGCAUUGCCCGGUAGCUAAGUUCGGAAUCGAUAACCGCUGAAAGCAUCUAAGCGGGAAGCGAGCCCUGAGAUGAGUCUUCCCUGAUACUUUAAGUAUCCUAAAGGGUUGUCGGAGACUACGACGUUGAUAGGUCAGGUGUGUAAGUGCUGUGAGGCAUUGAGCUAACUGAUACUAAUUGCCCGUGAGGCUUAACCAUACAACACCCAAGGGGUUU
rnacentral:rRNA from 1 species